rnacentral:lncRNA from 1 species
ACUCAACACUAACUGGAACAUAUAUAUUCCAUCUCCUCCUAUUAAGGUUGAAAGAUCAUUGCAGAAUAAGUUUUCAGAUUAAAAUAUUUGGUGCACAAUUUAAAAAGAAAGGUCAUGGGAAGGAAUAUCCAGAGGAUGAUACUUUGCCCGAGGAAAAUGUACAGCUCAUUGCCUACAUUAAAUGACUCUGCAACUGCACAAGAACUUAAGAGAUGGUACUCACCACUCUAAUAUAAGGAGCAAACAGCCAAGCUUUGUGCUUGUUUUUAUAUUUUUCCACAAAUUGCUUGUUUUUUUUCCCUAAUAUGUUCAACAACAGUUAAACAUUACCAGAAAAUAAAUUAUUACUU